ACGGGUGAGUAACACGUAGGCAACCUGCCCUCAAGCUUGGGACAACUACCGGAAACGGUAGCUAAUACCGAAUACUUGUUUUCUUCGCCUGAAGAGAACUGGAAAGAUGGAGCAAUCUGUCACUUGGGGAUGGGCCUGCGGCGCAUUAGCUAGUUGGUGAGGUAACGGCUCACCAAGGCGACGAUGCGUAGCCGACCUGAGAGGGUGAUCGGCCACACUGGGACUGAGACACGGCCCAGACUCCUACGGGAGGCAGCAGUAGGGAAUCUUCCGCAAUGGGCGAAAGCCUGACGGAGCAAUGCCGCGUGAGUGAUGAAGGUUUUCGGAUCGUAAAGCUCUGUUGCCAGGGAAGAACGCUUGGGAGAGUAACUGCUCUCAAGGUGACGGUACCUGAGAAGAAAGCCCCGGCUAACUACGUGCCAGCAGCCGCGGUAAUACGUAGGGGGCAAGCGUUGUCCGGAAUUAUUGGGCGUAAAGCGCGCGCAGGCGGUCAUGUAAGUCUGGUGUUUAAUCCCGGGGCUCAACCCCGGAUCGCACUGGAAACUGCGUGACUUGAGUGCAGAAGAGGAGAGUGGAAU
rnacentral:rRNA from 1 species